ACCUCAGCUCAAGCAAGAAAACCCGCUGAACUUAAGCAUAUCAAUAAGCGGAGGAAAAGAAACUAACAAGGAUUCCCCUAGUAACGGCGAGUGAAGAGGGAAAAGCUCAAAUUUUAAAUCUACCUGGUUCCCCAGGUCGAAUUGUAUUUUGAAGAAUCGAUAUCGGUGUUGAGGUCUGGUUCAAGUUCUUUGGAACAAGACAUCAUGGAGGGUGAGAAUCCCGUGCAUGAUCAGACCAAGAUACUUUAUAUUCGUUUUCUAAGAGUCGAGUUGUUUGGGAAUGCAGCUCAAAUUGGGUGGUAGACUUCACCUAAGGCUAAAUAUCAGCGAGAGACCGAUAGCGAACAAGUACUGUGAAGGAAAGAUGAAAAGCACUUUGAAAAGAGAGUUAAAUAGUACGUGAAAUUGUUGAAAGGGAAACGAUUGAAGUCAGUCAUGCUAGUGAAAAUUCAGUUUGACGGGUUUUGGGUUUAGGAGUAAGAGAUAGGGUCAAACCAUCUCUCUUUUAAACUUGGGAUUUGUCGGAUGCACUUUUUCUUUGGCAGGUCAGCGUCGAUUUCGGGGGUUGUAAAAUACUUGGGGGAAAGUAGCUCUGCUUCGGGAGAGUGUUAUAGACCUUGGGAGAUGCAGCCCGUGGGAUCGAGGAUUGCAGCAAAUGCCUUUGGCUUGUCUUCUGAUCUUUGAUUGUUACCUCGUUUAUGACAACAUUCUUGCCAUCGAUGAGUACUAGUGGUUAUGGGUUAGAAUGAUCAAAAAUUUGCUAAGGAUGCUGACGUAAUGGCUUUAAACGACCCGUCUUGAAACACGGACCAAGGAGUCUAACAUAUAUGCGAGUGUUA
rnacentral:rRNA from 1 species